CCUACGGGUGGCAGCAGUGAGGAAUAUUGGUCAAUGGCCGGAAGGCUGAACCAGCCAAGUCGCGUGAGGGACGAAUGUCCUAUGGGUUGUAAACCUCUUUUAUAAGGGAAGAAUAAAUGCUACGUGUAGCAUGAUGCCUGUACCUUACGAAUAAGCAUCGGCUAACCUCGUGCCAGCAGCCGCGGUAAUACGGAGGAUGCGAGCGUUAUCCGGAUUUAUUGGGUUUAAAGGGUGCGUAGGCGGUUUUUUAAGUUAGUGGUUAAACGUCGGGGCUUAACCAUGACUGGCCAUUGAUACUGGAAGACUCGAGUUCGGACGAGGUAGGCGGAAUAAGUUGAGUAGCGGUGAAAUGCUUAGAUAUAACGUAGAACUCCGAUGGCGAAGGCAGCUUACCGGACUGCGACUGACGCUGAGGCACGAGAGCGUGGGGAGCGAACAGGAUUAGAUACCCGUGUAGUC
rnacentral:rRNA from 1 species